UACGAGGGGAGCAAGCGUUGUUCGGAUUUACUGGGCGUAAAGGGCGCGUAGGCGGCGUGACAAGUCACUUGUGAAAUCUCCGGGCUUAACCCGGAACGGUCAAGUGAAACUGUCGUGCUAGAGUACAGAAGGGGCAACUGGAAUUCUCGGUGUAGCGGUGAAAUGCGUAGAGAUCGGGAGGAACACCCGUGGCGAAGGCGGCCUGCUGGGCCGAUCCUGACGCUGAGGCGCGAAGGCGUGGGGAGCGAACGGG
rnacentral:rRNA from 1 species